rnacentral:rRNA from 1 species
AUUUAUUCAGGAGUGGUUUGGGCCCGAUCCACAAAAUUAAAAAUAGGGAGGUUUGCAGCUAAAAGUGGUUUGUGUAAUGUUACAUGAGGUUUGCACAUGUUAAACUCUAAUAAGAAAUUAUAUUUACAUAAAAUAAACGGAGUGAAUUGAAAUAUCUUAAUAACUUCAGGAAAAUAAAUCAAAAGAGAUUCUUUGAGUAAUGUGAAUGAAACAAGAAAAGUCUUAAAUAGUAAAAUGGAGUGCAUAUCUGUUUGAACAAAAGGGGAACCUUCCUCUAAGACUAAAUAUGAUAUAUAUGCGAUAGUGAAUAGUACCGUGAGGGAAAUGAUUUAAAUAGCAAUUUUAUAAGCAGCUCAAGAAAUGUUUAAGUAAGCAAGGAGAGCGUACCUUUUGCAUAAUGGGUCAGCAAGUUAAUAUUUGAUGCGAGCGCUAAUGCGUAGAUAAAACAAUUAUGAUAUAAUGAUGUAGUAUCAAAGAUUAGACCCGAAACUUAGUGAUCUUACCAUGAUCAGGAUUAUAAAAGUCCGAACGGGUUAUCGUUGUAAAGAUAUCCGAAGAAUUGUGGUAAGUUAGUGAAAGACAAUACUGACUAAGAUAGCUGGUUUUCCGCGAAACCUAUAUAAGUAGGUAAUUUAAAUAGAAUAUCAGAAGGUACAGAAUUGUGAUCUCAUACAACUAGUAUUUUUUUUUUCAGCUAUAAAAUGUUUAAGGAAAAAACGCUUUUUGUGGACAUUGGGGGGUCGUGAAGACUUUAUCAGUGAGUAUUUGUUCUCGGAAGGGCUAGAUAUGAAUAUUGAAUAAUCGGACAUAGUACGAUAAGGUUGUAUGUCUAAAGGGAAACAGCCCAGAACAAGAGUUAAUAAGGUUCCAAAAUUUUUGUUAAGUGAAAUUAAGGAAGUAUUUGUCCCAUCCGGCCAGGUAAUAGGCUUAGAAGCGGCCAUUUUUUGAAGAUCUCGUAACAGAGCACUGGUUUUUAUAUAAUAAUAUGGAUAAAAGCACCAAAAAUUUAACGGAUCUAAACAAUUUACCGAAACCUUGUCCAUAUGUAAAAAUAUAGAUUGUAUAUUGUACAAAUGGGGUAGCGGAACAUUGGGCAGGUUUUAGAUUAUUCCUUUAUAAGGACUAAAAUUAAACAGUUCAAGUGAAAAUGCUGACAUGAGUAACGAUAAAGGGUGUUACCCUCGCCUAAAGCUUAUGGAAUUUAGAUAAAGUUACGGCCUCUAAGUUUGUUAUGUUUAUAUGUGUAAAAUCUAAUUUUUACAAAAAAACCCAAAAGGGAUAGACGAUGAGCAAAUCUAGCUUUUACAGAAAAUAACAUUUUUAGACAUAUCUCUUUAGAUAUUAGUGACAAAUGUUCCGGAAAACUGUAAACAUUGCACCUUAGGUAAAUAUAAACCUGAGGUGCGAUAUUACCGUACCUAAAUACUAACACAAGUAAGCAAGUAGAGUAUACGAAGGCGUUCGAGUGAACAAUCAUUAAGGAACUCGGCAAAUUGACUCACGUAACUUCGGGAUAAGGUGGGCCAUUCCUCUUGAUUAAUAUCAGGUAGGAAGAGGAGGCACAGAAUGGUGUUGUACGACUGUUUAAUUAAAACAAAGCACGCUGCAAAGAAAUGAAUUCGAAGUAUUGAGUGUGAUCUCUGCCCGAUGGCGGCUGGCUAUCGGAUUUUCUUAGUUAAAUAACAUAAGCUAGGUUUUGAAGGAACCCCCGUUCAAUGGCGGCCUUACCUAUAAGGGUCCUAAGGUAGCGGAAUACCCUGGCCGUUAAAUGCGGUCUUGCAUGAAUGAUGUAACGAUACAACAGCUGUCUCAAUGAUUGGCUCGGUGAAAUUGGAAUAACUGUGCAGAUACAGUUUACCUCUAGUUAGACGAGAAGACCCUAUGCAGCUUUACUGUUGCUAGUUACUGAGUAUGAUAGAAUGAGUCGUAGUGUAUAAGGUAAUCGCUAAGAUAGAAUUGAAACACCUUUACUUCAUUUAUCAUAUUAUAUAAACCCUACCAGGAGAUAGGUCUAUAAGUGGCCAUUCUUUUAAGAUUUCGUGCUAAUAUUUAUGACAUGAGCACUGGUUGUAAAAAAUUUAUAGGAACAAUUGCUAGGUGGCAGUUUAUGCGGGGCACAGAUCCCAUAAAAAGUACCUGGGAGUAUCCAAAUUCACUUUUGUAAAAUUGCAUAUUGCAUUUAAACAUGUCUUAUACAAAUUACGAUUUGUAUAAGACAUGUUUAUAAUAUUUAGUCUGAAAUUGGUAUUAAUUUUAUGCUAAUUCAGUUACAUAUCCAUUUAAGUUGGAGCUUUAUUUUUUUUAGUAGGAUUUUAACUACAUUAAAUGUAGUUGUAAUUAAAGCGUUAUUUGCUUUAAUACUGCCCUCUCUAUAUAAUAAGCAUGUAAAUAUAUAAUUAUACACUUACAUUAAGAUUAAUAUAAUAGGGGGCUUAUUUGUGAAUAAUGAUUUUUGUUGUUUACUUUAAUAUCUAGCUUUGUGUAGAGGCGAUAAGGCCUCUACACAAGUAAAUGAAUAGUAUCUAGAUAUCUUGUUAGAUGAUAAUUAUUAUACUUACCAAGUUUAACGGCUUAAUCCUGCUUUACUGUUUGACUUACACGUCUAUCAGUCGCGUAAGCGGGGCAUAU